rnacentral:lncRNA from 1 species
UUCCCCUCCCCUCCCCUCCUCUCCCCUCCCCUCCUCUCCUCUCCGAAUUUCUUCCUUUCUUUCUUUUUGAGUCCAUUAACAUUUUUCUUAUAGCCUUUCCUUGUAAACAUAGCCAUUUCUAUUCUCUGCCUUUUCUUCUUUUUUAAAAUUUGCUUUCUCUGAACAGGUAAUUUUCGGCCUCUUGGUCCACUUCAUGCAGCGGGUAAACCUCCUUUUGCUGCUCCUGCUCCUCCUCAUGAUGACUCCUUUUGGCUUCGGAUUCAACCGAAAGAAGACAGUACAUGUCCUGCUCCUGCUCCUGAUGGUAGCUUCUCCUGCUCCUGAUGGUAAGUCUCUUUUCAAGCAAUUAGAGUCACUUGGAUGUGGGUUCCUACCCAGCACCUCCCACCAUGCUGCAGAGCUUCUGCAGACAAGUACAACACUUAAAUGUAACCCUAAUGGAGCUAUAAAACUACUGCUAACAUUUUGAAAUAGCCAUUUCUUGCAACCAUAACCAUUUCAGUUCUGUGCAUUGCCAUGUUUUUUAAAAUUUACUUUCUCUAAAGUAAAUUUACUUUCUCUGAACAGACUCUUUUUGGCUUCCUGUUUUACCACAAGCAGCUCGUCCACCUCCUGCUCAUGCUCAUGAUGGUAAUUCUGCCUUUCAAGCAAUUAUAGUCACUUGGAUGUGGCUUUAGAGUCAACAUCUGCCUUCAUGCUGAAAUGCCUCUGUAGACAAGCACAAUAAUACUUAAUUGCAAACGUUAUGAAGGAGAAAAACUGGUGCUAGCAGAAACGUUGUGUGACUUUUCACAGAAAAGAAAGUAGAUGGUGAAAGCUAACAUAGGGAUUAAAGUUACUACUGUAUUAUUUUUUUCCUAUUCAUCUAUUUACCUGGAUUUAAUUGAUUUAAGUUUGGGUUUGGUUGUUUGGUUGGAUUCUUUUGAUACUGGGGAGUGGUAAUGCUGAGUGUGUGUGUGUGAGUUUGGUUUAUGAGGGUUUUUGUAAGGUUUUUUAUUUUUCCUGUUUUAAAUUCAUUCUUUCAUUGCUUCUUUUUACCAAAUAUCUUUUUUUUUCUUUCUAAAAAUAAAACAAUAUUAUUUUUUUAAUGGCCUUUAUUU